rnacentral:rRNA from 1 species
AACGAACGCUGGCGGCGCGUCUUAAGCAUGCAAGUCGAACGGCAAGAGAGGAGCUUGCUUCUCUCCUAGAGUGGCGGACUGGUGAGGAACACGUGGGUAAUCUACCCUUAAGAUGGGGAUAGCUGCUAGAAAUAGCAGGUAAUACCGAAUACACUCGGCAUAUCACAAGAGGUGUUGAGGAAAGGAAGCUACGGCUUCGCUUGAGGAUGAGCUUGCGUCCCAUUAGCUAGUUGGUGAGGUAAAGGCCCACCAAGGCGACGAUGGGUAUCCGGCCUGAGAGGGUGAACGGACACAUUGGGACUGAGAUACGGCCCAAACUCCUACGGGAGGCAGCAGCUAAGAAUAUUCCGAAUGGACGGAAGUCUGACGGAGCGACGCCGCGUGGAUGAAGAAGGCUGAAAAGUUGUAAAAUCCUUUUGUUGAUGAAGAAUAAGGGUGAGAGGGAAUGCUCAUCUGAUGACGGUAAUCGACGAAUAAGCCCCGGCUAAUUACGUG